GAUGAACGCUGGCGGCGUGCCUAAUACAUGCAAGUCGAGCGAACGGACGAGAAGCUUGCUUCUCUGAUGUUAGCGGCGGACGGGUGAGUAACACGUGGAUAACCUACCUAUAAGACUGGGAUAACUUCGGGAAACCGUAGCUAAUACCGGAUAAUAUUUUGAACCGCAUGGUUCAAAAGUGAAAGACGGUCUUGCUGUCACUUAUAGAUGGAUCCGCGCUGCAUUACCUAGUUGGUAAGGUAACGGCUUACCAAGGCAACGAUGCAUAGCCGACCUGAGAGGGUGAUCGGCCACACUGGAACUGAGACACGGUCCAGACUCCUACGGGAGGCAGCAGUAGGGAAUCUUCCGCAAUGGGCGAAAGCCUGACGGAGCAACGCCGCGUGAGUGAUGAAGGUCUUCGGAUCGUAAAACUCUGUUAUUAGGGAAGAACAUAUGUGUAAGUAACUGUGCACAUCUUGACGGUACCUAAUCAGAAAGCCACGGCUAACUACGUG
rnacentral:rRNA from 1 species